CCGCGACACUGCCGGGCCGGGGCCGCACCAGGAGCUCUCUGAAGUACCAACAGCGUAGACAGAGGCAGGACAUGAGGUUGGGUUAUAGGGUUACGACAUAUUUUGCAUAAACAUCACAUGAGAGAAAACCACCGGACUUCUAUUCAUACCGGUUCACGCCACUUGUUCAUCCACAUUCACAGAAAAAAAUACCUAGAGCAGGGAGCAGUGAAGUGUCUUUGCCAAAAGUUCCCGUUGGAAUGCCUCACAUCAAUGCAGCUGCAGCUCUGCAGAUUUCCAUGCUGCUCUUUGCUCUUCCUGCACAGUAUUUCAUAUCUCAGUGGUACGGAACGGACUCUGCCGAGCGCAUCCAAAUAACAGGAAGGAUAAUUGCCUCUUGGAGCAUCUCAACAAGAUCUUACUUGAGUCUGGAUGCGUGGGCAGAUCGUUUAAAGCUGUGGCUCUCAAAGAC